UACGAAGGGUGCAAGCGUUGUUCGGAAUUAUUGGGCGUAAAGGGUUCGUAGGCGGGAAGAUAAGUCAAGUGUGAAAUCCCUAAGCUCAACUUAGGACGUGCAUUUGAAACUGUUUUUCUUGAGUGUUGGAGAGGGUCGUGGAAUUGCUGGUGUAGGAGUGAAAUCCGUAGAUAUCAGCAGGAACACCUGAGGCGAAGGCGGCGACCUGGCCAUACACUGACGCUGAGGAACGAAAGCGCGGGGAGCAAAC
rnacentral:rRNA from 1 species